rnacentral:misc_RNA from 1 species
GUGAAUCAUCGAAUUUUUGAACGCAAAUUGCACUCUCUGGUAUUCCGGAGAGGAUGCCUGUUUUGAGGGCCUUUUUAAUAAAUAUUGGUGUGUUUGCUGCCUUUCGUGGUGCCGCACCGGAUUAGGGUCGACUUGCCUUGGGUUAAGGGACCUAAAAUUUUGCAUGAUUUUUUUCGAACGUAUGUAUAUGAUUUUACGUACGUUUGCGAUAUAG